CGUAUAUCGAGCAUGGUGUUGUCAGACCCAUACGGUUUCUACUCGAGUCUCGCUCUAAUCGGAUUCUCCCGGAGAACUCUUUCUCUCUCAACCCGAAUGACCCUGGCCAGGGAUUUGUCUGAGCAAGAACACAUGCGAUAUUCCUCUUAUGACGCCGAGAGUGGAUGAUCCUCUAUCGACACUCAAUAGCCCUCGUAAAGUCGACUACCACUCCCAAUGACCAGUUGUACUAGAUCUGGGACAGCCAAACCUAUAAGUCUGGUAUCAAAGAGUGGAGCACUCAUACAGGACAUCCUUAGUGUCUCAAGUCUAAGGACCAAAUACACCACUAGGACUACG
rnacentral:lncRNA from 1 species